UAUCUCUGUAGAGUCUGCAUAUCAAUAAGCGGAGGAAAAGAAACUAACAAGGAUUCCCCUAGUAACGGCGAGUGAAGCGGGAAGAGCUCAAAUUUGAAAUCUUCAAGGUUUGACCUUGACGAAUUGUAGUUUAAAGAAGUGUUUUCGGUUAGAGGAGUAGUAAAAGUUCUUUGGAAUAGGACAUCAUAGAGGGUGAGAAUCCCGUAUUUGACUAUUCUUUCUAGCUUUGUGAUACACUUUCAAAGAGUCGGAUUGUUUGGGAAUGCAGUCCAAAAUGGGUGGUAAAUUUCAUCUAAAGCUAAAUAUUGGCGAGAGACCGUUAGCGAACAAGUACCGUGAGGGAAAGAUGAAAAGAACUUUGAAAAGAGAGUUAAACAGUACGUGAAAUUGUCAAAAGGGAAGCGUUUGACACCAGUGUUGUUUUUCCGAAAAUCAAUUAAAAAUUGAUUCAUGCCAGGUUGUAUUGACCUUAUCAGCUUGCAAUUUGGUUUUGGGUCUCUUUUUGAUGCACUUUUCGGUUAACAAGUCAACAUCAAUUUCCUUUGCUGUAAAAAGGUAAGAGGAAGGUGGCUUCAAUUUCGGUUGAAGUGUUUAUAGCCUUUUAUCUCUGCAGUCGGGGAGAUUGAGGUCUGCAGCGUAGAUCCUUCGGGGCUAGAUACAUUUAUGCUAAGUUAUAGCUUUUCAUAGACAACUUGUUGACUGAUGUUUAGUCAUGUAGCUUACUCGUAAGUGCUAUUUUACCUACGCUUAGGAUGUUGAGCGCAUGUCUCUCUCU
rnacentral:rRNA from 1 species